CAUGAUUAGAAAGAUAAAGAUUUAACGUUAAUUGAGGAUCCAUACAAUCCGACAAAAACGAAGACAAGAACACUUAAAACUGAAACAAAAUCAAAACAAAAGUACUUAGCGAAAUGAAAUAACUGGAAAGCGAAGUCUUCAAGAGAGGAGUCACUCUCUGUCUACUUAGAUCGCUGUCUCAUCUUUCGUCUCUUCCUCUUCAACCUCCUCAUACGCUUCUUCUUCCACUGUAAAACAAGAACAAAAAAGAACUUAGCCAAAUGAUACAAAAGAGAGGUAACAGAUUACUAGCAAGAUUUGAAUGAUGAGUAUACCUUGGCUCUCAUUGCGGAGGAACUCUUUUUCUCAAAACCUUACUCGGCUAUAUUCCCCGGUGACGGUAGCAAGAAGAGAGAAGGAAGCGUAACUCGGAAUAUAUACCCCUGAAAACCCUAGGGUUGAGGCAGACCUGGGCAUUUAUGUUAAGCCCAUGUAAUGUUUCUUAUUGGGUUUCUCUUGUUAUGUUUUUUAUACUAUAGUUUGGGCCUUUGCACUAACAUUUUGCCAGCUCUAAAGAAAUUAGCAAGAAAAGGAUACCGAAGUUUUUGACAUUAAUUUAUUAUUCUAUUAUGAACAGUAUAAAUUAAUAUCUAAAUAGUUCUACUAAUUCUAUAAAGGAUCACUCUAUUUUUAUAUUAAUAAUUAGUUGUAUUAAGAUAACAUGCAUCCAGUUAUCACAUCAUAUGAAACCUAUAAAAACCGACGUAAGAGAUUACAAAAUAUCAAUAUGCAUAUAGAUUGGAUAAUAUAUAUUAUUUCUAGAGAAAUUGCAUCCUAUAGCAUAAAAAAAAAUUAUAAUUCAUUAUGUAACCAAUUAACCUAGUUUACAUAGAUAUAUUAUGUAUUUUAUAUAAUAAUACACUACUACCCUUGUAAGUCACCGAUGAAACCUGCUACCAAACUAAUUUUAAAAUAAAUAAUACGUGAAUGUAAAAGGUAAUAUGUGGCUCUCUAUUAUUCACACACUAUUCUAAAGCUAUUUUUAUUUGAUAAUUUUUGGGAAAGUGAAUAUGUUUCAUCUCAGAUUUGCAAGAUCCCUCAACGCAACCGUCUACAUACCCGGUGAAGUACAAUGGAGGAGAAAACCACUUUCGAAGGCUACGACAUUAAGGAAGGGGGAAGCUUCUCAGAUUUUGAAAUAAACAGUCCCAAGGAAGACGGAACAAGAGAGGCGGCGAGGUGGAUUAACGCUUGCAGAUUCAAGUUCCCAAAACCAUAUUGCAGAAGAGAAUUUCAAUCAUGUAAGUUGCGGUUGUUCUGUUAUUGUUUCUUAAUCUGAAGUAAUUCUUUUUUGGAGUCGGUAUGUGGAAACGUUGUGACCCGAAAGUUUGAAGCUUUGUGUUUAGACUCCACUCCAUUGUACAUUCUAUUCCUUUUUCAAAGUAUUUGUUACAUGAAUACAAAUAGAAUAUUUUUGAAAAAUUUGAAUCUGAAGUAUUUUUUUGUUUCCUUCAUUUUAUGAUAUUUUCAAGUCAUAUGUGGUACCGGAGUAACAUGGAAUAAAUGUGAACAAUCUGCUUGUUCGUAUUGUUGUUGCUUUGCGUAUGAUCCAGUGAGCUGAAUAGAAUACCAACCAACAAAAUUAAAAAGAAUAGUUUGUUGGUUUCCAUUCUCAUUUUUGUUCGUAUUGUUGUUGUUUGUCUAUACAUACCGUUACACUUUUAUGGUUUCCAUUCUACAUUUUUGUUAUACUAUACAUCUUAUUUCACAUUUACUUUGUUAUAUGGGUCCUAACAAUUGCUUUGUGUUGCUCAGGUUACAAAUGGAUGAUUUAGACUGUCAAGUAGAUUGUUCGAAACUGGAUUUGAACCAAUUCGUGAAUAUAUUCUCAUUUAUAUGUAAUGGUGCAAUGUGUAUAUAAAUGGAAUAGACCGUGUGCACGUAAAAUGGAAAGAUCAUACAUGUAAAAUGGAAUGUAUAAUAUUUGCUAUUUGUUUUAUUCUAUUCUAUUUGCAGAACAUACAAUAGAAAUAUGAUUUUACAGUGCAUUCGCAUAAGUUAUAUUUUGUUGUUGUAUCAUUGAUAUGAAUCCUAGUUUAUGCGUAUUGAUCAAGAAUUAAGUAUUUAAAACUCAAUUUUAUCACUUCCUUAACCACAUCAACAUAAGUCUAAACUUCACACAAAUUUCGUUAACCACAUCCAAAUUUCACUAUUUCACCAAUAUGUAGUAUACUAUUUAUUUUGUUCUAUUCUAUUUGGGUCGAAGAUUUAUAUUUAGAUUUAGAGUUUAUAUUUGAGUUUAGGGUUUAAUAAUAAAGUUUUAGAGUUUAGUAUGGUUGGAGGUGGAGAUAGGACAUGAUUAGGAUUUAGGGUUUAGUAUUUUAGGAUUGGAGUAAGAUUUUGAUAUUUAAGAGUUAUGGGUAAGAUUUGUAUCCUAUACUAUUUCUCCGAUAUGGAAUACACCUUUUACUGAAAAUCUAUUUCUUUCCACUCCUUUUACAGCAUUUAUUUAUUUUUGUAUUUAGUAUUUUCGUUAUCUGGUUGUUAUGAAAAUAGACUUACAUUGUAUUGUAAAUGGAAUAUACCACUCUUAGAAAGUAUUCUAUUUUUAUCCAUUUGUUUUACAUGUCACUUAAAUGUGCGGUAACUAUGCAUGUGACGUAAGUCAUGUGCUUUCAUUGUUAAUAGUGAUCAUUAACUCAUGUUUCUCUCCUCUCAUCGACGUCACUAUUUUCUUCUUCACCGGGUACCUGUAAGUGAUGAGGGUAUAACCGACUAAACUUUAGCAUAAAUGUUAGUUUAUUAAAUAGAUCAAAAUCAAUGUCAUAUGCUUAAUUUGCAUUUUUGUUUUGUAUAUUGAACAAAUUCUCCCUUAUUUCUACUCGUAUGGUGGAACUUAAAUUAAAUAAAAAAAUUCAUUUAUUGGUAGAAAGACGUGGUUAGUUAGUAGUUCCAUGCUGGCUAUAAAAUAAAAUGAAAUUUAAAAGUCAACCAUUAAGAUAUUCAUAAUUUGUACAGGGUUCGUUCCCUUUGGUCGAGCUGACUUUUUAAGGUACAAAUCUCAAAUAAUUGAGAUACCCACAACCAUAAAUAUAAAUGAGUCGAUUCAUGUCUCAAGUGAUAACGUAGUUAUCGUUGACAAAAUAAAAAUAAUUUGUAUGAUUGUAUUUAUCAUUAUGUUAUGGUAUCUGAGUGCCAAAGUUCGCUCUAGAAUGAUUAGUUACUAAAUGUAAAUGACUCUAUUAUUAGCGUGGAAGCACAUAUAAACUGCGACAUGUCAGUAUGACUUGGAGAGUGUCUCUAAUAAAAUAAUUGAUGCACGACUACUUAACCACAAUUAAACAUAUCCAACUAAUCAUAUUUAGUUAAACUAUUUUAAUAUUUAAUGGGCUGUUCCAAUGGUGACUCUCUGCUCAUGGCCAUAGGUCAUUGCGAUUUAAUAUUUUUGAGAAUCUUGAAUAGUGAGAAAUUGUUAAAACUCUAUAUAUAUUAUACUAAAAACAAGACAUGUGAUGAAUUUGGAUAUGAUUAAUAUUUCAAGAAGGGAUUCAUUUGCUGAAAUAUGUGUGAUGUAUCAAAUAUGGUUAGUUUAAUGAAUUCUAUAUCAAAAUAACACGUUUGCAGAUUAUACAAAUGUUUUUUUACAAGACUAAUUUUCUAAUAUUUUAAUGAUUCAUCCAAAACAGGCAGAAACUCUUAUGACUAAGAUGAAGGAUACAAUUAUUCAAAAACAACUUACAUUAUACUAAAAAUUUGAUGAUACAUUCAAAUGAGAUUAGAGCGGGAGAAGAAAUGUUUUUGACAUAAAAUCAGUGUUCUUAAAACCACGCGCCCCCAAAAAUUUUCUCUCAACCCUAACUUCGCGUCUCCCUCGCGCCUCCUUUUUCUUUACUCCGAUCGCCUCUCCAGUGCCGCUCGGCGCUGAGAGAGGGCUCUUGCCGACCCCGUCACAUCCAAAUCCAUCUCCGGCGUGAAGAUCUGUGGGUGACGUGACUUUGUUUCGGUUCGUCGUCUUCUCAGAUGGCUUGCUUUGACUUGUCGAAGCUGAGCGGGAUUUGCGACGCGGUGCCUCUAGCGACUGUGCCGCCGCUUCAUCCUCCUCAACACCAAAGCAAACGUUUCCUCUCCCUACGUCUCGCUCUUCUCGCGGGUGAAAGUAAAUGUCGCUUUGGCCUCUGCCUACAAAGGCAAAUCGGGUACGCGUUGCCUAAGUUAGAGGUCUCGGGACCUCGGACUGGUUGCGAUAGGGUCAUAUCUGUCGCUCCAUCGAGUCAAGUUUAGGUGGUUAGCUACUGAGUGAUGCAUUAAUUUUGCUCCUCUCCCCUCCUUUGUUGUUGGUGUUGGCGUUGCUUGUUAGUCUGGAUUGGAAUUGCAGGUUUAAACGUGAUGGGUUGUGGAGGUUCUUUGGUUUCUUGGAGCUCGGAGGAAUACUUUGUGGUUGGAGGAGGUAGUAAGACUCGGGAGGUGGUGAUGCUGCCCCUUUCUCUGUACCGACUUAGAGGACGAGUGCGGUCGAGUUGGUUGAGCGCUAUUAAGCACCCGUGGUGUGUGUUGUCCUGUCUGUUGCUGGAUUCCGGGUUUAGUUCUUUCCCAGCCCGGACCUAGAGGACCGUCUUUGAGCGGGUCUGUUUCUGAUCCUUGGAGAAAAGAAAUUUGUACAGGCAGCCAUUGAAUCCACUUCCCACUAGUAUCGUAUUCUUCGUGUUCUAGUUUCUUGGAUCUCUCUUUUCAUGCUUGUCUCGGCUAAAUCUUCGGUCCGGUUACUACAAGUUUGUAUCGAUAUUUGAUAUCCUGUUCGCUCCAAAGCAGAACGGUUUCAAAUUCGAUUGAUUCUGCUUCCAUGUUUUUUACUUUUUUUGCCAUGGAAGUAUGUGUUUAGAAGUCUUAUAGUUUGUUUAUCACAUUUUGUAAGCUUCAACAAUUCAUUUCUGAAAUGAUAUUUACCAUUUAGCAAAAAAAAAAAAAAUGUUUUUGACAUAAUAAUAGCCAAUCAUGCUUAUUGUUCUGCCGACACAAACUAUUGCAUCAAUCGCGCUUCAUGGGACCAAAGCAACAACACCAAGACUAUCACGGAUCCCAAAUAGAACUUUAAUCCUUUUUGAUGUACGAUUACAAAAAUAUGGGAUCAUGCAACAAUUUUAACAGCGUAGUUAAGUUUGAAUUUGUUUGUUCAAAUGAUGUUAUGGGCCUGAGUAUGGCUAUCAAUUUAUCAUGGACUACAAAUCUAUAAUCGAUUAUUUAUAUUUCGAUGAAUAAACAAAAAUGGAAGUUUUGCGUAGUAUAACAAAAACCACGAAGGAUUUAUAAAGUCAAAACUAUUAUACGUCAAUGGAGGGAGAGUUCCUCAUUUAUUUUCAAAAAAUAAAAGAGUGAAAAUUGGAAUUUAUCUAUGCUCUAAUUACUAAGCGUUAGGACUAGUCACAAGAUUCUCGUAGGAGUCAACGGCGCUUGACGGGACGGCGACCAUUACUUUAACCGCGUCACUUCGUUCAGGAACCGGAAGCAACAAACAGUACCGGUCGCAGCAAACCGAUCCCACGUGAACCGGUUUACCAAAACCGAAAUCAAGCUUCUCUAAACCGAGGCGUGACCACUGCGAAAUUAUCAAGACUCCGACCGAGUCAGGACACUUGGCCUUGCUCACGGCUUCCACCACCGACCUGACGUAAUCAUCUCCGACUCUCUCCUUCGCUUGUUUCACCAGCUUCGCCGCGUGGCGUAAUCCUUUCUCCGUCAAGUCUUUCACGGUGGUUUGCGCGCACCCGACGACGAAGGCGUUCCCGUAGAACCCGGCGGGUAAACUCGGUUUGACUCGGUCUCGGAUGUUGACGCUGAACAAAAGCUUGACGGUUUGGCUCGAUGGUAAGUUCAGUGAUCUCGCCCAGCUCCGCCACACGUGCGCAGAGAGCACCUCGAACGAUGUGUGUUUGGUACUGGACUCACCGAGUCGACUCGCGAGUUUCUUCAGCUCUGUAAGUCUCUGUUUCUCGAAGACGACGGAGGUCGGAACGAGUCGCUCGGCGUUGAACCGGUUGACGAACCCGCAGAGGUCGGGAACUCGGUUGAACUCAGGGUGGCUCAACGAGUCACGAACCGGAGACGGGUUAAGCAAGCGGCGAUCCCAGAGGUGUCUCCGUUUCAACUCGGUCUGACUCAGCGAGUCUCUCGAUAACUCGGCGAACAAGGUGAGAAACUCGGCGCUUCCGAUGCCAUCGGAGAGGCAGUGGUUAACACCGACGGCUAAAGCGGCGCCACCGUCUCUGAGCCAAGUGAGCUGGACGACGAGAGGCGGUGCACCGGCGAGGACGUCGACGACGUUGAGGGAGAGAAGCUUUCUCCAGCUAGUCACGUGCCGGGGAGGUUUCUGAAAGUCAAGGCACGUGAGGUGAUCAGUUACGGCUUCGAGAAACAGAGCACCUUGGCUACGGCAGUUAACCUCGAGACUUCCGCCGUUGGGUCUCUCACGGACACGGCCGGAGAAAGGGAAGUAAGGAACAAGAGCGCGAGAGAGUGCUGAUUUGAGACGACCCGAGAGAGAAACCGGGUCGGAAACGGGUGAGUAAACGAGGAGGUAUUCGAUUGUGAAUCGGAGGAAGAGUUGAGAAUCUAAGGCGGAGAGGGACAGAACACAAGAAGGUGUUUGGUCGGAAGGAGUAAUAACUGUGGCUUCUUUGACAUGAACCAGUGAUCCCAUUAUACUUUCUUUCUUGCUUCUUUUUUGCUCUGAAAUAAAGAAGGUGGGUCUCUGCGAUGUGUAUUAUAUAUAUACCGCUGCUAUGUUAUGUAUGCGCAUGUAUAUUCACGUAGAAGAGAGACAACUAGGGUAGUUUUGUAAUUUGGCUGAUCUUUUCAGACAUGGUAUGUCUUGUGUGUUGUAUCAUGCAUGUGUACUCUUGUGUGUACGUGUUCCCUUAAUUGUUCUGACUGGUUUCAAAAUCUAGAGGCAACGCUUUUGAUCCGUUGGUGUGAAAGUUUUACAAGUUAUCACUGGACGUAGAUUUUCAAUUUAGAGCACAGUGGUGGAUAAUCAUCCCCCAUAUGCUUUAUACCUUUUUAUUUAAUAUAUGAUAUUAAAUUGAGAGAUAAACAACCUUUUAUUGGAUAUAGGGAAAGAUUUCAACGAAUAUUUGGUAAUCGGGAGAUAUAUGGUGGUAUUGAAAUUGAUUGACGGAUACUACUAUUUUGAGGUUGAUCAAGCAUAUUUAGACCGUUCAUAUGAAAACGUGCAUCGACUAUUUGAAUUUGAUCAUCCACACGACAAUCCACCGUGAAGAUUUUUUUCUUUCAACCGUGUGAAUCUUAAAAGUUUUAGGUUUAAAGACUAAAUCCACGAAACUGGGUAUUCAAUUAAUCUAUCAGUAUGACAACCAAAUGGUUGAGGUGUAUGGAAUUCAGGACACAAGUUCCAGCUGGAGUUCUAUUACCAAUAGACCAAGACAACUUGACAAGUGAGAAGAGAAAAUAAUUAACAUAACCACAAAAUUUUAGAACGUAUAUCGUUCAGUUCUAUACACGAAGUUACGAAAGCGUAUAAGAUGAUGGUGGUACACAAAAUUAUCUGUUAAAUAAGAGUUAAAGACGAUAAUGUCUAAAAUGGAAGAAACUAAAACCACGGUUUGGCGAAGGUUAACUAUACACGUAUUUCAAUAAUUAAGUUAAAAAUGCCAUUAAGCCAAGUUUCUGUAUUUUUUAAAGUGUUAGUAGCACGUAGUAGUAAAUGAUUUAUUUUAGACCACCUCCAUCGGCGCUUCUUAAAUGGAGGUUCCAAACAAAAGAGAAAAAAAAUAAAUGAAAAAGGAAAAUAAAACACAGAACCGGUGUUUAAACUGGGAUUUUUAGGAUUGUUAGGAACCCUAACGUGUCACAUUCUUAUUUGACGGCUCAUUUAUGUCUCUCUCUCUCCUUCGAAAUCCCAUUUUUUCUAUUCCUCCUCCAAGCUCGAUCUCUCCAUCUUCUAUGUCGAUUCCAAUAAGCUCUACUUUAUUUCAACAGUGAAAGAUUGGUAACUCUUCAAGCUAAUAAAAUAUUUCAUUAUCCUCUCCGUCGAAUCUAAUGACCAUGGAAACUCUCUCAACAUCAUCACACCUCUCUAAUUUGCCCCAGUCUUCGUGUUGGUCCUGUAAUCCGUGAAUCCACAAUCUGAGAAUCAGCAACGGAUCAAGCCACGGAGGGCUUCGUAUGCAAGCUCUCUUACACAACGACACGCCAAGUGAAGGUAAAUCUUUUGGAUUCUCAUGGAAAGUUCAAUUUUUUUUUUUGUUGUGGGUGGGAUUAUUUGUAUUGGGGGUACCCUUAAAGAUGCUUACUUUGUUAUUGAUACGAAUCUUAGAUUGGUGUACAGAUUAAUUUGAAGUAGAUCAUUUCCAGUGGCAUAUAGCUUCUUCUUAUUGUUGCUGUGAAGGAAAAAGAUUGAGACUUGUUCUCAUAGUAGUGUAAUCGAUGUGCAGACAUGAGGUUGUAGGCUUUACAACCAGAUAAGAUCGCUGUUGAUGGUGGUGAGCAGAACGUCAAGGUACUUUAUCUCAAAUCCCUCUCACUUGCUUUAGAUUCUCCAAACAUUCUUGUCCUUUGGUAAAUUGAAGUAGGUUCUUACUUGAUGGGAACUCUUUGACAUGUUCGAUAAUGUGAAGAACACUCUCUUUAGGAUGCUUGAUGGAAACUCCUCGAGGGAGAUGAUGUGAUGAAUGUGCAGAUAUGCUACAAGAAGAGGACUUCAAUCAUCAAAGUGUUUUUGACUCGCAUGGUUACCACAAUGGCGGAUGAAAGAGACGAGUCUCAGAGCAUUGAGCCCACGGGUAACAAUGAUCUUGUGGUAAGUAGUAUGUAGAGAGAACAACAAUAUGAUAUGUAAUAAGUGAAAGUAAUCAUUAAAACCUUAUGCUAGUUGAUGUAUGACUUGUUUUGAUCAAAUGGAAUCAGUUUGUUAAAAAAAUUUUAAGAACCUCAAAGAGAGGUUCUCCCAUUGGACCAUGAAAAAAUUAAUAACACUAACAAGGGUUCUAAACUUCUCAAAUCACAAAAUCAACUAUUAAAUUAUUCAUUAGAACCCAUUAUGGGUUCUAACCAAUGGACUUGCUCUUACAGUUUUAAAAUUCGGAAGUCUCUGAAUUGACGUGCUACGGUGUGAAAUGAAAGACUAAUGUUAACAAAAUGUGCAAGUAAUUCAUCAACUUAAUUAUGUUUUUCAUCGAUAUAAAAAUUAAAACAUAUAUCACUAGCACCAUUAUAUUCUUCCAUUCGAUUUAAUUAGGUCUGUAUAUAGAAUUGGUUUUUUUGAUAUAUUCUAUCGAUUGAUUGAUAGGGACGGUCUCGAAAAAAAACACACUUGGUGUUACCAAAUGGAUUGGGAUGAUAUUGUCUGAUUAAAUGCAUUACUAUUAGUGUUAGGAGAUAGACCAAUCAUAUGUUUUUUUUUUUAAUGAAAUUAUAUUAAUCAAACCGAAUAAUCGGCAAUCAGAUACGGUUACAAGCUCGUUUUGAACAAAAGCAUCAAAGUCUAACUAUUACAAGUCUUUGAUAUCGGUUACCGUUCUCAAUCAUAUGUUAUAACCAUUAUAUUAACCAUUUGGACUGAAAUUUAAAUCCAGAUUGACCAAACAACAAUAUUUUAGUUUAUACAAAGAAUUCUCGAAUUCAUAACUGAUGGAAGUACACACUAAUUACAAAUAAGCUGUCACCACUUGGCUGUAUACAGAAUUAUUAUAUCAUGUGUUUGAACAGUGUAUUGAAAUGGGUAAGCAUUUCCGACGAAAAAGAACACACCAUAACGGGUUGGUCUAGUAACCCCAAUGAUACGUGUAGGCAGCCAAUCCAAAUACAAGUCAGUCGACAAAGUAACCUUAAAAGCAAGAGAAAUAAAGUAUUAUUCGGCUAAAUUUGACUCCAUGGGCAACAUACAAUUCAGAGUUGUAAGGGUUUCAAAAGGAAGAAAUGUUUAUAAUCAACCUGUAUAAAACGUUACCUUUCUUGUUAUGGUUAUCUGGAUGUAUUUAAAGGGAAAUAAUCGUGAGAAUGUUUGAAAAAAAAAGUUUGGUUGUGGUAGCGGUUUACAGUACGAUGUGCAUUGUUGUUUGGGCAUUGGCUGGCGCAUGUGUCUGAAACAGUGAAAGAUUUGGUGCCAAGAUUCUUAUGGAAUAACUUUAUUGGACAAAAAAGUACUCUUGGAACAUCAAAUGAAAUAUAUACCUCCCACAAUUAUGCAAAAUUUAAGUUGUAUAAGGCUUUAGCUAUUGAAACAUAAAUGUUUUUGCGUUACAACUUUUCUCUCUCCUGCGAUUUUUCUCUCAGGCCCGUGUUUCGAGACAGUUUCUGUAGACCGUUUUGAGAUACCCACUGUUUCCAAUUUCCCGGUUUGUUUCCCCUUUUGGUUACUAAAGUUGACCUCCAUCUUCUGUCUACUACCAUCUACCUGGUUUUCACUCCAGUUUUAGCAAGUUUUCAAAUUUAUAAAACCACUCUCCCUCCACCACCGUCCUCCUCUGGUUGCUUCCCGCCGGGUUCAGCCCCCGACGGCGUCGGAGGGCCCGCUGCUCUCUCCCUCCUGCAUUCCUUCAACAACUAAGCUCGGAUAUGUCUCCCACUAGCUCAUCCCUCUGCGGAGUCACAGCUUACUCGGGAACAUCAGUACUGAGCUUAUUGAGGGUCUCUUUGACUACUUCCUCUCGGUAGCGGUCGAGGUCUGUUUCAGAAUACUAGUUUAUCUAGCUUUGCCCAGUUUGGGAGUUUCAUUACACUUACUCGAAGAUUGAGGCUCAGGACGCUUGCUCCCCUGUCUCAGCCUACUAGCAGCUCGUCCUCCUGUCUCAGUGUACUUUCCGCAUUGCCUUGCCCAAUUUGGGACCCCUCUCUUUGUUUGUUGAUUGCUUAUAGCUGCAGUCUACAACAAAUUCUGUGCUUCCACAAUGGCUCGUCGCUACUCUGCCUCAGAAAAGGCAAAGUGGGUCUCUGAACCAGCUGCUCCUGCUCGCCGAGCGCCCAUCCAAAUCCCGAUGACUGAUAACUCCGCUCUCAUUGAGCAGAAUAAGCUCACUCUUAUAGGCCGAGUCACAAACCCCGCAGCUCAAAACACUCGAGCCCUUGUGGACUUUUUCUUACAACACUGGCAUGUCUCAGGUUCCAUAACUGGAAGAGACCUCGGACCCCACUUGUUCCAGUUCAGCUUUGAGUCUGAAAGAGACCUUCAGAGCAUCUUGUGUAAAGCCCCAUACCACUUCAAGCGUUGGAUGAUCUUGCUCCAACGAUGGGAACCCACUGUUUCGGAAAGCUUCCCAUCUAUCAUUCCGUUUUGGAUUCGAAUCCACGGCCUCCCUCUCCAUUACUGGACAGAGGAAGCUCUCCAGGCCAUAGGCUCAGAACUCGGGCACGUAGACUCAAAGGAUGUCACAAAGGGAAGAAUACGAGUUCUUAUUAAUGGUCUCCGUCCUCUGGAUAGACUCCUUGAAGUUAGCCUGCCAUCGGGAGAUAUAAAAGAAGUUGAGCUUGAAUAUGAGAAGCUCGAAAAGCAUUGUUUCUCUUGUCGGUCUCUAUCCCACGAGCAAGAUGACUGCUCUUCUAAGCCCUCCACGGGCCAGGGUCCAAUAGGCAUCAACCAAUCACGGACUCUAGAGAAGCUAGCAGAACGCAGAAGAAGAACCGAUGCAAGAACUGGGAGGCAUCAUAGUAGUCCUAACAGGAGCUUAGUGCCCUCCUAUGGGGGCCGUUCGUAUCAGGGGACUGGAGAACCCCAUCUCAGACACUCCAAUCACUCUUAUGAUAGGGGACACAGAACUGAGAAAAGAUACGAGACGUCGAAUCGCAGACUCCCCUCACCACCAAAGAGGUCUCCUCUUAGGCGACAUGAAACGACUCGAAAAGAAGUUUGGGUUCCACGCAAGGAAAAUCCUCUAGGAGUCAUAGUGGGAACUGACCCUCGAGGCUCAGGGCGCCUAUCUAUCAGAACCUCUAGACAAGUUCUGUCUCCCCAAACCUCCCACACUCCAUCCCCUCGUCCUCACAGGGAACCUAUGCUCCCUCUUGCUGGUGCUAAUUCUGAUCAUUCAAACUCCAACUCCAGGGUCCGACGCCCAGCUUUGGAAAGAAUAUCACCUGCUGCGAGUUUGAAUGCAUCCUCGGAAAGGAGACCGGCUUUAGAACGGCUCUCUCUGCCCUCCAAUAGGGACUCUCUGCCUUGUAAUGAGGAUGGUACUACUGGCUCUGGUUUCCUACAGGAUGUGGACGAUCAAUACUUUGAAGAAACAAUGGGAGAUUUGCCUUUUGAUAAAGCUGGAGCCUCAGGCUCUAAGCCCUCACAGGCAGCAUCUUCGCCUAUUCGCACCCUGAGUGAAGAUAGGAUCCACGUCUCUAUGAGACUAGGCCCGACAGCACCAGAGCCAGACAUUGUUGUUAACCUACCUCUGGGCCCUCCUCUCAAAAGAUCUGGCCGCUUAGCUGCAAAAAUAUUAGGCAAACGAAAGCUAACCCCUCAACCAGUAAAGAAGAAGAUCAUCAGAAGCCCCGGUCAGGGAGUAAGCAUAAAGAAGAGGAGGAUCACCAAGGCCACAAAUGGAUCACCCAAAAGAUCGCCUAGGAGAAAGCUGGUGAUGACAACAGAGGGUGCAAAGGAAUCGAAAGCCGGCGCGUCCACUAGCAGAGCUGCUCCACCGACGAAGGUCUUUCCCUCAAGUAGACGCAAGGUGCCGGAUUUUCGGUCACCUCGAGAUCCGCUUCCUUAGCGUGUCUGAGCUGGAACUGUCAAGGGAUUGGAAGCACUCUGACAGUCCAGCGGCUUAAGGAGAUACGGUCUCGUCUAUCUCCUGAUAUCUUGUUUCUAAUGGAGACUAAAAACAGUGAUGAAAAAGUUCUCCGUCAUUUUCAAAAUUCUCUGUAUAAGAACCAUUUCUCAGUUCCUCCCACUGGUUUAAGUGGAGGCCUGAUGUUAUCUUGGAAGGAUGAUAUAAAAGUGGAUGUUCUCUAUUCUUCUUGCAACAUCAUUGAUACACACAUCCAUGCUAAGAAGUCUUCAUUCUUUACAUCCUUCAUCUAUGGUGCCCCUAGGAAAGAAGAUCGCCCCGCCUUUUGGAGCAAACUAGUCGAUCUUGGAAAAUCCAGAGAUGCGGCUUGGUUUAUUACGGGCGACUUCAACGACUUGCUUGAUAACUCCGAGAAAGUUGGUGGUCCUCUCAGGUGGGAGGGAUCUUUCCUCUCUUUCCGUAGUUUUGUGUCUCAGUCGGGGUUAUGGGAUCUUCCCCAUGCUGGUAAUCAUCUCUCCUGGAGAGGAAUGAGACACGAUCACUUUGUUCAAUCCCGUCUUGAUCGAGCAAUGGCGAACUGUGCGUGGUCGGAAUGUUUUCCUUCUGGCCGUAGCAUCUACCUCCGCUUUGAGGGAUCAGACCAUCGCCCCCUUCUUACUCUCUUUGAUCAGACUAAAGCCCACAAGAAAGGAUCCUUCCGCUUCGAUAGGAGACUGCGGAAAAACCCGGACAUUCUCAAGCUUGUGGAAGAACAUUGGCCUCUCCCAAGACCGGAAGCUGUCAUCUCAAAGACAGACAGAGUAAGGAGGAAGAUCGUUGAAUGGUCAAAAGAACAGAAUGUUAAGAGCUGUGAGGUGAUAAGGGAGGCACAGCAGAUUCUCGAAGAAGCUCUAUCGGCCACUACACCUGAUACAGAACUAAUCCAUGCCAUCUCUUCCAAGCUUGAGAAAGCUUACCUUGAUGAAGAGGA
rnacentral:lncRNA from 1 species